rnacentral:rRNA from 1 species
GGGAGGACCAUCUCCCAAGGCUAAAUACUCUCUAGUGACCGAUAGUGAACCAGUACCGUGAGGGAAAGGUGAAAAGCACCCCGGAAGGGGAGUGAAAUAGAACCUGAAACCGUGUGCUUACAAGUAGUCAGAGCCUGUUAAUGGGUGAUGGCGUGCCUUUUGUAGAAUGAACCGGCGAGUUACGAUUUGAUGCAAGGUUAAGCAGUAAAUGUGGAGCCGUAGCGAAAGCGAGUCUGAAUAGGGCGUUUAGUAUUUGGUCGUAGACCCGAAACCAGGUGAUCUACCCUUGGUCAGGUUGAAGUUCAGGUAACACUGAAUGGAGGACCGAACCGACUUACGUUGAAAAGUGAGCGGAUGAACUGAGGGUAGCGGAGAAAUUCCAAUCGAACCUGGAGAUAGCUGGUUCUCUCCGAAAUAGCUUUAGGGCUAGCCUCAAGUGAUGAUUAUUGGAGGUAGAGCACUGUUUGGACGAGGGGCCCCUCUCGGGUUACCGAAUUCAGACAAACUCCGAAUGCCAAUUAAUUUAACUUGGGAGUCAGAACAUGGGUGAUAAGGUCCGUGUUCGAAAGGGAAACAGCCCAGACCACCAGCUAAGGUCCCAAAAUAUAUGUUAAGUGGAAAAGGAUGUGGCGUUGCCCAGACAACUAGGAUGUUGGCUUAGAAGCAGCCAUCAUUUAAAGAGUGCGUAAUAGCUCACUAGUCGAGUGACACUGCGCCGAAAAUGUACCGGGGCUAAACAUAUUACCGAAGCUGUGGAUUGUCCUUUGGACAAUGGUAGGAGAGCGUUCUAAGGGCGUUGAAGCAUGAUCGUAAGGACAUGUGGAGCGCUUAGAAGUGAGAAUGCCGGUGUGAGUAGCGAAAGACGGGUGAGAAUCCCGUCCACCGAUUGACUAAGGUUUCCAGAGGAAGGCUCGUCCGCUCUGGGUUAGUCGGGUCCUAAGCUGAGGCCGACAGGCGUAGGCGAUGGAUAACAGGUUGAUAUUCCUGUACCACCUAUAAUCGUUUUAAUCGAUGGGGGGACGCAGUAGGAUAGGCGAAGCGUGCGAUUGGAUUGCACGUCUAAGCAGUAAGGCUGAGUAUUAGGCA